AUCCUUUCUUCCAUCUCAGCUCC
rnacentral:misc_RNA from 1 species